ACCAAAAUGGCGGCGGCGCACUGCGUAGCGCCGCGCCUCCUCCCGCCCCCAGGCGCCCAGGGGCGGCGCUACGCGUAAUGGCCGCCCCUAACGGUCGUUAGCGGGCGUUAGGCUGGGCACCUGCUUUAGGAGGGGGUCAAACUCUAUGAUCUGCAGAGAUCCCUUCCAACUCCUACAAUUCUGUGAAGCAAAUAUCAGUGGGUCCAGCAGCACUCAGAAUGAAGGUCUUGGGGUACUGCCAAGAAGAUAAAGUGAUGUAAAGUGAUGACAGCUUUCCUUGGCUGUGAAUGUUGACACACUGCGUGUAGGAGGAGAAGAGGAUGUGCAGAAGGAACUCUGUGCAUCACACUAGUUGAUGGUGUAGCAGCCAGAAUCAGCGUGAACAGCAGCUGCAGCUCUGCAUGGAGCCAAUUCAGGCACAGGAUAUGGUGGAAAGCACUGCCAACUGUGCCUGUAGUGUCCGCUAGCAAAGCACAAGGAUGGGCAAGUUUGCCAGGACUGAAUAAAAGAAAACCUAAGAGCAGCUGGUGGUGUGGGCAUCUUCUUCUGGUACCUGAUGAACACUUCAAAGCUGGCUCUGGGCAAAGCCAUGUUUAUAGAGCUCUUGGACUCUGAGUUAGCUAGAGCUUAGACAAGUGGCAGCAGGGAGAGAAAGACGCAAGUAACAAAGGCCCAAAGACAGCAUUCACAGAUCUCUGGGCUGGUCUGUGAAAGAGCUGUGAGGCAUUCUGGGAACGUUGCUGGUGAUUGUGACUGAGAAGUGCUGUGAGCAGAAAUGAGCUAUGAAGCAACUUCUGAAAGGUUGCCUCACCCAGUUCUGAAUACUGAGUUGUAUGUUGUAGAGCUGGUCCUGACCUAGGAUUUCCAAGGUGUUCCAUCAAUGUGAUAUUGAACAAUUAUGACCUUCCUGAAUGUCUCUGUGGUGACAGGGACACCGUGUCAGACAAUACAGUUCCAAUGAUAGUAUCUUUUGAUAAAUCUUCAGAUUUGACAUCUUCUGGACUUGCAGCUUCAUUUGCUACAUGAUUGCCAGCUCUGACAGUGCAGCCUGAAGCUUUAGUUCUUGGAAACCAUUAGCAGAUGUGUCUUUAUUAGGUAGUUUGUUUGCCUUAUGAUUUAAUAAACAAAAGAUGAGAUUUUGAGAAAGGAGAAUUUUAAAUAAUACAUAUGAAUGUAUUUGUACCUGUAUCUUUUAAUAGCACCAGAAAUAGUCUCCAGUAUUCAAAAGUUAGGUUUUUGUGUGAAACUGCCUUGUAAUUUUAAAUUUUUCUUGCAGAGAGGGAGAGGCUUUCUGAAUUUUGACCUUGACAGGCUGAAGAAAUGGGCUGACAAAGAACACUGACAAAGAACCUCACAAAAUUCAAGAAUGAAAAGUGCAAAGUCCUGCACCUUGGGAGGUCCCCAGGCACCAGUACAGGCUAGGGACCACCCAGCUGGCAAGCAGCUCUGCAGGAAAGGACCUAAGAGCCUUGCUAUAUAUUAGAACAUGUCAACAUGAGUCAUCAGUGUGUCCUUGCUGCAAAAAAGGCUAACAGUAUUCUUGGUUGCAUUAGGCAAAGUAUCACCAGCAGGACAAGAGAGAUGAUCCUUCUGCUCUAUUCACCAUUGGUGAGGCCACAUGUGGAGUACUGAGUCCAGUUUUGUGCUCCUCAGUAGAGCAAAGGCAUGGACAUAUUGGAAAGAGUCCAGUGGAAGACCACCAAGAUGAUCAAGUGUCUGGAGUACCUCUCCUGUGAGGAAAGGCUGAGAGAGCUGUGACUGUCCAGCUUGGAGAAGAGAAGGCUCUGGGGGAAUCCUAUCAAUAUCUGUAAAUACUGCAGGGAGGGUGCAAAGAGGACAGAGCAGGCUCUUUUCAUUGGUGCCCAGUGCUAGGACAAUUGGCAGUGGGCAUUAACUGGAACACGGGAGGGCACUGGCACAUGUUACCCAGAGAGGCCAUGAAGUUUCGUGCUUGGAGAUCUUCAGAAGCCACCUGGACCUUGGCCUGGGCACUCUGCUCGGGGUUUCUCUGCUUAGCAAGGGGGUUUGACAUCCAGGGGUUUCUGCCAGCCUCAACCAUUCUGUGAAGUUUCUUUCUUUCUGGUUGGAGAGCCUCUCAAAGCAAAGAUUUGAAGCAGCCAUCACUAUCAUCAUGUGAAAAUGAGGAGCAGUCCACAGACACCCCUCCAUAAGAGCUGAGAACAAUCUCUGAAAACAGCCUGACUUCUAACAGGAGGUCUUGCCACAUCAGGAUGAGGUGGUACAUGUACACUUCUUGCCGUUUCAGCUGACAGACUGUCUAUGGCAACUGAUAAAGUCUGCAGUGGUAUUGCAACAGUGAGAUCUUGGCUGUAGGUGCUAUAGCUUUUACAACCAGAAGUCUUUUUUGUUUUGAUUUUUUGGCUGUAUUCAAGAAGCUCUGAAACAGUUAGGCAUUGGCUGUGCUCCAGCCUAAUAAGCCUGGCUGUUAGUUAGAACAGAUUGUCUUGAUGGAGAUCACAUGGCAUGUGUGGGACAACUGGGGGAUCAGGUCCAGCCAGCAUGGGUUCGUGAAGGGCAGGUCCUACUUGACCAACCUAAUCUCCUUCUGUGAUUGAGCGACCCACCUGGUGGAUGAGGGGAAGGCUGUUGAUGUGGUCUACCUUAACAUCAGCAAAGCCUUCAAUACUGUCUCCUACAGUAUUCUCCUGAAGAAGCUGCAGCCCAUGGCUUGGAUACGUACACUGGGUAAGGAGCUGGCUGGAGGGCCAGGCCCAGAGAGUGGUGAUGAAUGGAGUUAAAUUCAGCUGGUGACCGGUC